rnacentral:antisense_RNA from 13 species
AACAAUGGUGGGCUGUAUGGAACUUCCUUCGGGAAGGCUGGUUUCCUCUAACACCAGUAAGGCCAAUUCCGUACAGUCCACCGCCAGC